UAAAAUUAUUUUAAAUAAUAUAUUAGAAAUGAAAUGUUAUUCGUUUUUAAAGGUAUCUAGUUCUUUAAGAAAUAAAUUUAAUUUAGAAAUUUUAUAUUAUUUAAUUUAAUAUAUUAAUUAAAUAAUUAUUUAAUUUUAAUAUUUUAUGGGAUAAGCUAUGAAAUAAAUUUUUAAAAAUUAUUAAAUAAAAUUAAUAAAUAUAGGCUUAGAAAUAGUUAUUAUUAAUAAAAAUGUUAUAAUUUAUUUUUUUAAAUAUAUUAUUUAUUUAUAUUUUAAAAAUUUAUUAAAGUAUUUAUUUUAAUUUAAAAAAUAAAAUAAUAAUGAUAAAAUUAGUAUAUUAUUGUUGUAAAUAUAAAUUUAAAUGAUAAGUUUUUAUAAAGAACUCGGCAAAAAUAAUAUUCGCCUGUUUAACAAAAACAUGUCUUUAUGAAUUUUUCUAUAAAGUCUAACCUGCCCACUGAAUAAAAUUUAAAUGGCCGCAGUAUUUUGACUGUGCAAAGGUAGCAUAAUCAUUAGUCUUUUAAUUGAAGGCUGGAAUGAAUGGUUGGACGAAAUAUUAACUGUUUCAUAAAAAUUUUUAUUAGAAUUUUAUUUUUUAGUUAAAAAGCUAAGAUUUAUUUAAAAGACGAGAAGACCCUAUAAAUCUUUAUAUUUAAAUUAUUAUAAUUUUUUAGAAUUAUUUUAUUAUUAUAAUUAAUAAUAUUUUAUUGGGGUGAUAUUAAAAUUUAAUAAACUUUUAAUUUAAUUUAUCAUUAAUUUAUGAAUAAAUGAUCCGUUAUUAACGAUUAAAAAAAUAAGUUACUUUAGGGAUAACAGCGUAAUUUUUUUGGAGAGUUCAUAUCAAUAAAAAAGAUUGCGACCUCGAUGUUGGAUUAAGAUAUAAUUUUAGGUGUAGCUGCUUAAAUUUUAAGUCUGU
rnacentral:rRNA from 1 species